rnacentral:rRNA from 1 species
UACGGAGGGUGCAAGCGUUAUCCGGAUUCACUGGGUUUAAAGGGUGCGUAGGUGGGCAGGUAAGUCAGUGGUGAAAUCUCCGGGCUUAACCCGGAAACUGCCGUUGAUACUAUUUGUCUUGAAUAUAGUGGAGGUGAGCCGAAUAUGUCAUGUAGCGGUGAAAUGCUUAGAUAUGACAUAGAACACCAAUUGCGAAGGCAGCUGACUACAGGGGCAUUGACACUGAGGCACGAAAGCGUGGGGAUCAAACAGG